rnacentral:rRNA from 1 species
GGUAGUCCACGCCCUAAACGAUGUCAACUAGCUGUUGGGGCCUUCGGGCCUUGGUAGCGCAGCUAACGCGUGAAGUUGACCGCCUGGGGAGUACGGUCGCAAGAUUAAAACUCAAAGGAAUUGACGGGGACCCGCACAAGCGGUGGAUGAUGUGGAUUAAUUCGAUGCAACGCGAAAAACCUUACCUACCCUUGACAUGUCUGGAAUCCCAAAGAGAUUAGGGAGUGCUCGCAAGAGAACCGGAACACAGGUGCUGCAUGGCUGUCGUCAGCUCGUGUCGUGAGAUGUUGGGUUAAGUCCCGCUACGAGCGCAACCCUUGUCAUUAGUUGCUACGAAAGGGCACUCUAAUGAGACUGCCGGUGACAAACCGGAGGAAGGUGGGGAUGACGUCAGGUCCUCAUGGCCCUUAUGGGUAGGGCUUCACACGUCAUACAAUGGUCGGGACAGAGGGUCGCCAACCCGCGAGGGGGAGCCAAUCCCAGAAACCCGAUCGUAGUCCGGAUCGUAGUCUGCAACUCGACUACGUGAAGUCGGAAUCGCUAGUAAUCGCGGAUCAGAAUGUCGCGGUGAAUACGUUCCCGGGUCUUGUACACACCGCCCGUCACACCAUGGGAGUGGGUUCCACCAGAAGUAGUUAGCCUAACCGCAAGGAGGGCGAUUACCACGGUGGGGUUCAUGACUGGGGUGAAGUCGUAACAAGGUAGCCGUAUCGGAAGGUGC